rnacentral:rRNA from 1 species
ACUCAAAGGAAUUGACGGGGACCCGCACAAGCAGUGGAUCAUGUGGUUUAAUUCGACGAUACGCGAAGAACCUUACCGAGGCUUGACAUCCCUGGGAGGCGCUAGAAAUAGUGCUGUGCCUUCGGGAACCAGGUGACAGGUGCUGCAUGGCCGUCGUCAGCUCGUGUCGUGAGAUGUUGGGUUAAGUCCCGCAACGAGCGCAACCCUUGUCGUCUGUUGUAUUUUUCAGACGAGACUGCCCGGGCCAACCGGGAGGAAGGUGGGGAUGAUGUCAGGUCAGCAUGGCCCUUACGCCUCGGGCUACACACGUGAUACAAUGGCCGGUACAACGCGUUGCCAAAUCGCAAGAUGGAGCUAAUCGCAUCAAAACCGGUCCCAGUUCGGAUAGGAGGCUGCAACUCGCCUCCUUGAAGUUGGAAUUGCUAGUAAACGUGGGUCAGCAUACCACGUUGAAUACGUUCCCGGGUCUUGUACACACCGCCCGU